rnacentral:lncRNA from 1 species
UGGGUUAUAUCUUAUGGAUUAGGGUUGGGGUUAUGGGUUAUGGGUUAGGGCUGGGGUUGGGGCUAUGGGUUAUGGGUUAUAGCUUCUGGGUUAGGGUUGGGGUUAUGGGUUAUGGGUUGGAGUUGGGGCUAUGGGUUAUGGCUCAUGGGUUAGGGUUGGGGUUAUGGGUUAUGGGUUAGGGCUGGGGUUGGGGCUAUGGGUUAUGGGUUAUAGCUUCUGGGUUAGGGUUGGGGUUAUGGGUUAUGGGUUGGAGUUGGGGCUAUGGGUUAUGGCUCAUGGGUUAGGGUUGGGGUUAUGGGUUAUGGGUUAGGGCUGGGGCUGGGCUAUGGGUUUUGGGUUAUAGCUUCUGGGUUCGGGUUGGGAUUAUGGGUUAGGGUUGGGGUUGGAGUUGGGGCUGUGGGUUACAGAUCAUGGGUUAGGAUUG